rnacentral:rRNA from 1 species
CUGGGCAUGCGGCGCAUUAGCUUGACGGCGGGGUAACGGCCCACCGUGGCGACGAUGCGUAGGGGUUCUGAGAGGAAGGCCCCCCACACUGGAACUGAGACACGGUCCAGACUCCUACGGGAGGCAGCAGUGAGGAAUAUUGGUCAAUGGGCGGAAGCCUGAACCAGCCAAGUCGCGUGAGGGAAUAAGGCCCUACGGGUCGUAAACCUCUUUUGCCGGGGAGCAAGGGCCGGGACGCGUCCCGGCCCGGAGAGUACCCGGAGAAAAAGCAUCGGCUAACUCCGUGCCAGCAGCCGCGGUAAUACGGAGGAUGCGAGCGUUAUCCGGAUUUAUUGGGUUUAAAGGGUGCGUAGGCGGGCUUUUAAGUCAGCGGUAAAAAUUCGGGGCUCAACCCCGUCCGGCCGUUGAAACUGGGGGCCUUGAGUGGGCGAGAAGAAGGCGGAAUGCGUGGUGUAGCGGUGAAAUGCAUAGAUAUCACGCAGAACCCCGAUUGCGAAGGCAGCCUUCCGGCGCCCUACUGACGCUGAGGCACGAAAGUGCGGGGAUCGAACAGGAUUAGAUACCCUGGUAGUCCGCACAGUAAACGAUGGAUGCCAGCUGUCCGGGCCGAAUGGGGCCUGGGUGGC